rnacentral:rRNA from 1 species
CCUACGGGUGGCAGCAGUGAGGAAUAUUGGUCAAUGGGCGUAAGCCUGAACCAGCCAAGUCGCGUGAGGGAUGAAGGUUCUAUGGAUCGUAAACCUCUUUUAUAAGGGAAUAAAGUGUGGGACGUGUCCUGUUUUGUAUGUACCUUAUGAAUAAGGAUCGGCUAACUCCGUGCCAGCAGCCGCGGUAAUACGGAGGAUCCGAGCGUUAUCCGGAUUUAUUGGGUUUAAAGGGUGCGUAGGCGGCCUUUUAAGUCAGCGGGGAAAGUCUGUGGCUCAACCAUAGAAUUGCCGUUGAAACUGGGAGGCUUGAGUAUGUUUGAGGCAGGCGGAAUGCGUGGUGUAGCGGUGAAAUGCUUAGAUAUCACGCAGAACACCGAUUGCGAAGGCAGCUUACCAAUCUAUAUCUGACGUUGAGGCACGAAAGCGUGGGGAGCAAACAGGAUUAGAUACCCUUGUAGUC